AUAAUUUUCUUCAAUCUUUGCUUAUAUAAGUAAGAAAGGGAAAGGUGACAAAAAGCUCUAGAUUGGACUUGGCGUAAUAAUCGCAUAUCUUGUUUCUGGGUUCUUGUUGUUUCUAUUUUUUCAAUCAUUCUUUGCCUCUUUUUAGAAAAAAGGAGAUGACUUGGAUUAGCAUUUGAACAAAUGUCAUUUGUCUUACUGAGCAUUGAGAGAUGAUUUAUAAUUUGUGCGGCG
rnacentral:misc_RNA from 1 species